rnacentral:misc_RNA from 1 species
GGAAGGAUCAUUAACACUAAUCCAACAAACUCAACCAAGCCUUCAGUUGCAGCAGUAGUAUGCGCUAGCGCAAGCGGGCCGUACCGCAGCUGCAACACCAAGCAAACCUAAUUCACGCAAAGGAGUCUAACUAAGACCAACCAAAUAACCAAAUUCUCAACGAUGGAUAUCUUGGUUCCCAUAACGAUGAAGAACGCAGCGAAGUGCGAUAAGCAAUGCGAAUUGCAGAACCGUGAGUCAUCAGAUUUUUGAACGCAACUGGCGCCGGCUGGCUAUCCAGCCGGCAUGCUUGUUUCAGUGUCUGUUUUUCUCCUCACCCACAUCCUAAUGCGAGAGAUGCCCUUCUCUUGUCAAGCACGAAAGCACUCUGCGCUCUGCGAGCGGCGUCGACUUGUUCGAGUGCCGCACUCAAUGCAGCGGUCACAUUGCUCACAAUGUGAACUCAUUGAGAGCAGGGGCAGUGCAGCUCCGGCUGCGCAGUGCUUAGCCACACAACCUUUCUUUGUAUCUGAAAUCAAGCAGGAUCACCCGCUGAACUUAAGCAUAUCACUAAGCGGAGGAGAAGAAAUUAACUAAGAUUGCCUCAGUAACGGCGAGUGAAGCGGCAAAAGCCCAAACUGGAAAUCUUGCGUACCUCGUGCGCACGAAUUGUAAUCUAUAGGGGGUUCGCUCAACGGGGGCCGGCGCAGAAGUUCUCCUCGAACGGGACGCCAGAGAGGGUGACAGCCCCGUACGUGGUGCCGGCGCCUACCGAGCGGGUUCUCGAAGAGUCGGGUUGUUUUGUAUUGCAGCCCUAAGCGGGAGAUAAACUUCUUCUAAGGCUAAAUACCUAUGGGAAACCGAUAGCGAACAAGUACUGUGAAGGAAAGAUGAAAAGAACUUUGAAAAGAGAGUCAAAAGACUUGAAAUCGUUGAGAAGGAAGCGGUAGAAAUUUAUCCUUCGGCGUGCGCCGGUGCAGGAUGCCUAGCCAUUGUCGCCGUGUAGCACCGCAAGGGCUGCUGGGGGCACCUGGGGAAGCGCCCUGCUUGGUGUACGUCGUGAGGCAAGAUGAGGUCGCGCACCCGCAAAAGUGCCCUGCGCCGGGCUAGCUUGCUGGCAGCGUGGGGUGGCUGGUGGGCGUGCGGCCUGAGGAUGCUUCGUGCGAUCUUGCCAAAAUGGUUUUUACCGACCCGUCUUGAAACACGGACCAAGGAGUCUAACAUAUAUGCGAGUGUGCUGGUGGAGAAACCAACACGCGUAAUGAAGGUGAGCGAUGCCAAGCGCAAGCGGCAGCAUCGACCGACCAUGAUCCUCUGGUGAAAGGUUUGAGUAAGAGCAUAGAUGUUAGGACCCGAAAGAUGGUGAACUAUGCCUGAGUAGGGUGAAGCCAGGGGAAACUCUGGUGGAGGCUCGUAGCGGUUCUGACGUGCAAAUCGAUCGUCAAACUUGGGUAUAGGGGCGAAAGACUAAUCGAACCAUCUAGUAGCUGGUUCCCUC